rnacentral:lncRNA from 1 species
CAAACCUCAUUUAAGGGUUGGCAGCGGUAGUAAGGGUGUUUUGCUGGAGAUCCCUCUGCACUUGAGGCCUUCUGGGGGCAAUGAGUGUCUGAGUCUGUUAGGCCAAACUCCAUAAACCUCACCAGAAUGUCAGCUAUCAAGAUGACAAUUUCUGGAACUCAAGGCACAGCCGAAGAAGCCUUUCCGGACCAGAAACCUUUCUGGACCAGAAAAUGACCAUGGGACACAACAUACACAUGCCAGUGAAUAGGCUAUCAGGAGAUAAGAUAAUGUAACAAAUUCUGAAGAGGACAAGAUACAGGGCAAGCUGUCUCCAGGCCAUGCUACCAUUUAUGGAGGAGUCUUUAAAAAAAGACAUACCCUGCUGCAGACCUUGGACCAAAAAUGUUCAGUGCUACAUGAAAGGAAAGGCAUUCCCAGAGAGAGCUGUUCCCUUCCCAGACCUGGGAUUUUUCCCAAGAAGAG